AUUGAACGCUGGCGGCAGGCUUAACACAUGCAAGUCGAGCGAGUGGCGGACGGGUGAGUAAUGUCUGGGAAACUGCCUGAUGGAGGGGGAUAACUACUGGAAACGGUAGCUAAUACCGCAUACCAUCAGAUGUGCCCAGAUGGGAUUAGCUAGUGGGUGGGGUAAUGGCUCACCAAGUCGACGAUCCCUAGCUGGUCUGGGAGGAGGACCAGCAAUCUGGGAACUGAGACACGGCCCCGCCUCCUCCGGGAGGCGGCAGUGGGGAAUAUUGCACAAUGGGCGAAAGCCUGAUGCAGCCAUGCCGCGUGUUUGAAGAAGGCCUUCGGGUUGUAAAGUACUUUCAGCGAGGAGGCGUUACGCGCAGAGGAAGCACCGGCUAACUCCGUGCCAGCAGCCGCGGUAAUAC
rnacentral:rRNA from 1 species